GAACAGAUAAAAGAAAAUUUGUCGGAUCAAAACAUAUUACUCAUCAAGCCUGUUAUCUAAAUACAUAAAUAAGUUGCUCAAAAGGAGUAACAAAGCUUUCACCGAACAAAGCAUCGAAAAAAUCGAAUAUAUAAAAUUGAAAUAACUUUUCUUUAUCCUCCUAUCUUCGUAUUAUUUUAUUCCAAUUUCCAAAUUACAAAAUUUUAACGAAAUAAUCGAAUUCUGGCGAAGCUAUACAAUAAUAUACACGUAUCAAUAAACAUAUACGCAAUAAUAACACGGAGUAACACAAAGGAUCAAUUCUUCGAAAAGCAAAACAAAAACUUCUCCCCACCAAUAUCGCUCUCUCCAAUUCACUAAUAACACGUAGUCCUCGUAAGAACACAUAGACCAAACGUCCUGUAGACGUCGAGGAACGCGGUCGAAAAUAGAUCGAUGUCGGUUGGUGAUAAUCAGAUUCCAUGGUGCCGUUUGUUAACACCGUUUGUUGAAUCGUGCAGGAAAUUUGUUCGUUGCCCCGUGAAAUCCGCGUCAUCGAUGUCUCGUCGUCGUCGUCUUCGUCUUCGUCGUCGUUGCCGUCUUCGUCGUCUUCGUCGUCGUCGUCGUCGUCAUGGCCUCUCCAACCGUGGCUACAUAUUUCACACUGGUGAGUAAAUAAACGAUUUCUGGGUAACGUUGAAGAAUUCGAGGGUGGGGGGAGGGGGAGGAAGAAGAGACCGCUUUUCUUGACCGUGACAUGUGGCCGUUUCGAAAUAAAUUUUUCCACCGAGCAUCGACGACGACUACGAAGACGAGGAUUCUCCCUGUUUUCAACUCCGCUGUCCCAUCUUUCUCCUCCUCCCUCGCCCCUCCUCGUGCUCGCACACUUUUCUCGGCCGUGUUUCUUUCGAAAGGGAGGCUAUGCAUUUUUCGCCGGCUUAAAAAUAGGCGAUCAACGUGGCACCGCGAAACUGGCCAGAGGUCAGUCACUCCUCGGGCGCAAAAAUAGCCGGCAAAAUGGAAAAAAAUAAUCUCCUCCUCCGGUGAAUCCGACCGAAAUCUUGGAUACCGACGAAGCCUGGACGGACCUUCGUGUUUCCAUGAUUUUCUAUUUACUCGGUAAGUAAAUAAGUUUUUGCAUUUCUUUCCUCGUAUUACACGUAUUCCUCGUAUUUAUUUAUAAGUUUUUCUCCAACUUUGGUCGCGAGAUGGAAAGUUUGUUUCUCAUAUUAUUCGCAUUACAGUGUUUCUUAGAAUUGGAACGAAUUCUAACAAAAUAUUCUUCCUUUUAAUUAAUAAUAAUAUUUCUUUUAAAUAGGUACUAUAGGAUAGUACGAAGUGAAAAUCCUAUUUUCUCACAAGCAUCAUGAACGAUCACGUUGGCCAGCCAAACGAGAGCGAGAAAUUCGAAAAAACCCAGAAGUCGAGCUUGGACCGAUUCCCAUACUGGUCCACCAUCAUUUCCACAAACCAGUGCCGUCCAUUGAGCAAAAGUUGCUCUCUUCUUUCUUGGAAAUCGUGUUCAUUCGCGUUGCAUCAAGGCCCAGAUUGCGAGGUCCGAAUCUGCACCGUCAGCCCAGCUAGAUUUUUCACGGUCCCCGAUCUUCUUUGUAGGGGGCGCUGCCCGCUUGUCAUAUUUGCCUAUGAUGGACGACGAUUCAUCGAUUCAGAAAGGAAACGUUUCCUCGGGAUGACGAGCACGUUUCCCAUUCAGAGAGAAAGGUGGAGAAUAGAGAACGGUCGCAACGCAUUUCGCCAAUUCCACACCCGAUCCCGAUCAUUAUCGGUUGCCCAACUUUGAGAAUCCAAGGACCAAUUUUCCAGAGGUGAUCGCUGUUUCUUUUUUCUUCUUUUUUUUUUUCCUCCUCUCUCCUCCUGCGCAUUGCGGAUGGCCUCCUCCCCCUUCUCUGCAGAGAAGAAUAAAUCGUGUCGCGUUUAGCCCGUGGCGUUUCUCGACCGAUCGAGCGAAACGAGGACCAGCAUCUGGACAAUUCUAUCUUUGAACUGGAAUUUCGUCUGGCGAGUGGGCUGGCUCGCGUCUUCGUUAUUUUCAUGACGAAUUGUUAUUUAUCGUGGGGAGGUGGUUGAAUCGUGGGAUUCAAAAUGAAAGGGAAUUUUGUCCCCUUUCGGUUAAAAACGGUCUUUCUUGAAUGUUUUAAAUGUAUAAUAAUUGAAGUUUGUAAAUUUUCAGAUUCUGGGAAGUGUUCUCGAGAAACUAGGUAGGUUGACUCGUUUUUAAACUAAUUUUUAAUUUUAUUCAAAAGAGAUUUGGAAUUUAAAAUAUUUUAUAAUCUAUUUUAAAAAUUUGGAAAAUUUUCAGAUACCUUCUUUCUUCCAUAUUCCAUGUAAUUGCAGCGUCUUUCUUCGCGUCGAGUUGAUUUUGGAAACUGUUAAAAUUCGAGGAAUUGAUAGGGGGGGAUGUGACGUAAGAGUGAUAUUUCAUGUUGUUUGUGUAAACUUUGGUGGAAUGUUGGAUCAAUGUAAUGCAGUUAUAGUGAGUGGAUGGUAUUUUCCAAGGAUACAUCGUAUAGUUAAAUUCCUUGGAAUAACUUAUAUACAACUAUGCUCGUUAUAUAUAGUGAAUCGUAUAUUAGAUCAUUUAAAAAAAUAGUUGUAUAUAUAAUAUAUUCAAAUAUUUUUUGUUUCAAAUCUCAGUUGAAUAUCGACAUUGAUUUUCAAAAAAUCAAUUAUUACAUCAAGAUUUUCUUAUUAAUAUUAUACACUCACUUAUCAAGAUACGUUUCACUAUAUGUAUCGUGAGGUUAAGGGUUAACCCAUAGAAGAAAUAUUUAUUCCUAUCGACAGACAUGGAGCUAUAAAGGCCGACUUUCCAUUCCAUUUUUUAUACGAACAAUCGAUCCAUAAUGCAGCUAGUUCCUCUAAUAUCCUUGUUCAUACAUUUACAAAGUAUAACAAUAUCAGAUAGUUGAUUUAAAAAAUAAAAAAAUCAAAUUAUCCCAACGUUCAAUCACGAUUCAUAGAUUGAAAUUUUUCCAAAAUUUAAAAAAAACACUUAUAUCGUCCCCCAUAUUAAUUCCAGGACUGAAAAAAGCAAGGUAUAAGCCCGAAAAAAAAUCACAGGAAGAAAUGAUUCAUCCACGAUUUCCUUCAAGACCAACCUACUUCGAAUCCUUCAAAAUUUCCUAAAAAAAAAAAAGAAGAAAGAAAGAAAGAAAGAAAGAAGGAAAUCUAUAUAUUCCACGUAAAUCACUCGCACAUCUUUGUAUCCCCCGUAUUAAGCUCGAAUAGCUAAAGAAAAAAGGAAGGUAUAAUCUGAAAGAACAGGAAGGAACAAUUCGUACGCUCGCACCGUCUCGAUAUCCGGCCAGUUAGAAUCGUGUUCGCCCCGGGCGUCCGGGCAAAUCGUCCGAGAUAAAUGUCCAGAUUUCCCGGCGACACGUCGUCUAGCAUCAAUCCAGUCCUUUCUCCCUCCUCAACUCACCCUCCUCUUGCACACGUAUGUAUAUAUGUAUAUAUAUAUAAAGAAGGAAACGGAGAGGAAACCGGUGGUGGAAGCGUCUAAUCGUUUUACAGAAACGAACGAUCGUGGAGGCCGGUUGCGCGUAGCCAGGCCAAGGAAAGUACGUGAACCUUGCGAAAUUUUCGUUUACACAGCCGCCCGUAUAUCAAAAGUUUAAUUGAAUUUUCGGCCGAGGCCUUGGCCCGGGGAGAUUAGGAUCGUGGCCGGCCUCUUUCCCCCUCCCCCCUGCCUCGUGUCUCUUUCCACCUACGACGACCCUGGCCGUCUUCCUGAUACCUCACGUCCUCUUUAUCUGUGUAUUACUACCGUCUUUACGCGAUUAUUAUUCUAGCUGCCCCUUCCACCUUUGAUUAUCAUGCGAGAUGGAGGAGGAAGCGUCUUCAAUUUGAUUCCACGAAAGAUUUUCUUUUUUUUAGGUGGGUUGAGAUUUGGUAAUUAAUAAGUUUUAAGUAGUUUUAGUUAAUUCUGUAUUUUUGUAUUUUUAAGAAAGACGCGACGAAGAUACGAAGAAUCGGUUUUUCUUUUUAUUCUGAAAUUUUUCUAAGGAUAUUGAACAUUAUCUGUUAGAAAGGAAGGGAAGAGGAUAUAUUUUUUAAACGAGAAAUAAAAAUUUGAAGAUUCGGAUUUCUUUGAGGAAGGAAAUUCCAGGUGGAACGAUAUAGGUGUAUAUAAAUUACUUUUUGGUCGAGAUACGUUGAAUUGUUUCAUUUUUGAAAGGAAAAUAUGGACGUGAUAUGUUUGAUUUAUGGGGGAUACUCGUCUUGUUAUUAGUGGUCAGGCGUAUUUUCUUCUAAGUUCUUCGGAGAGUUUCAAAGGAAAUGAAUGCCCAGAAUACGAAUAGAUAUUUGCAUAAUUACACGUUUUAUUGUACCCUUUUGGUCAUGAGGGUAAGAUCGAAUUUAUCUCAUUGGCCCUCACCUGUCCUGCACGAUGCGGGCCGGGACAACUGACCACCUGUACAGUCCCAACAACAAAGAAAAAAAAGGAACGACCUAGAAUGCCCGUUAUUAAUGAGAGACUCCACAUUAACAGUUUAAUAAUUGACGAUGGUAAUGUACUUCGCAUUUCCACUCAUAAAUUAAGAUCGUUAACAUGUAUACUGCAUUAAGUGCAUUAA
rnacentral:lncRNA from 1 species